UACAGAGGGUGCGAGCGUUGUUCGGAAUUAUUGGGCGUAAAGAGCUUGUAGGCGGUUUGUCGCGUCUGCUGUGAAAUUUCGGGGCUCAACCCCGAACUUGCAGUGGGUACGGGCAGACUAGAGUGUGGUAGGGGAGACUGGAAUUCCUGGUGUAGCGGUGAAAUGCGCAGAUAUCAGGAGGAACACCGAUGGCGAAGGCAGGUCUCUGGGCCACUACUGACGCUGAGAAGCGAAAGCAUGGGGAGCGAACAGG
rnacentral:rRNA from 1 species